UACGGAGGGUGCAAGCGUUGCUCGGAAUCAUUGGGCGUAAAGCGCGUGUAGGCGGCCAACUAAGUCUGAUGUGAAAUCCCAGGGCUCAACCCUGGAACUGCAUCGGAUACUGGAUGGCUAGAGGAUGAGAGAGGAUGGUGGAAUUCCUGGUGUAGGGGUGAAAUCCGUAGAUAUCAGGAGGAACAUCAGUGGCGAAGGCGGUUCUCUGGGACGGUACUGACGCUGAGACGCGAAAGCGUGGGGAGCGAACAGG
rnacentral:rRNA from 1 species